rnacentral:rRNA from 1 species
UACGUAGGUGUCGAGCGUUGUCCGGAAUCACUGGGCGUAAAGGGCGCGUAGGCGGCUCAUGAAGGCUGUGGUGAAAGUCCGGGGCUCAACCUCGGAUCGGCCGUGGCGACUCGUGGGCUGGAGCACUGUAGAGGCGGGUGGAAUUCCGGGUGUAGCGGUGGAAUGCGUAGAGAUCCGGAAGAACACCAGUGGCGAAGGCGGCCCGCUGGGCAGUGGCUGACGCUGAGGCGCGACAGCGUGGGGAGCAAACAGG